rnacentral:misc_RNA from 1 species
UCCCUAAACGGGCAGUCCGGCCAGACACAGAGUAACUGACCGUAGGGGUUGCGCUCGUUGCGGGGCUUAACCCAACAUCUCACGGCACGAGCUGACGACAGCCAUGCAGCAUCUGUGCCACACCCUCGAAGGCGACGCCCUUUCAGGCGCUUGCAGUGGCAUGUCCAAUCUGGGUAAGGUUCUGCGCGUUGCGUCGAAUUAAACCACAUGCUCCACCGCUUGUGCGGGCCCCCGUCAAUUCCUUUGAGUUUCAGCCUUGCGGCCGUACUCCCCAGGCGGGGCACUUAAUGCGUUAGCGCCGGCACUAAAGGGCGGAAACCCUCUAACACUUAGCACUCAUCGUUUACGGCGUGGACUAC